UACGUAGGGUGCGAGCGUUGUCCGGAAUUAUUGGGCGUAAAGGGCUCGUAGGCGGUUUGUCACGUCGGGAGUGAAAACUCAGGGCUUAACCCUGAGCCUGCUUCCGAUACGGGCAGACUAGAGGUAUGCAGGGGAGAACGGAAUUCCUGGUGUAGCGGUGAAAUGCGUAGAUAUCGGGAGGAACACCAGUGGCGAAGGCGACUUCCUGGCCUGUUCUUGACGCUGAGGCGCGAAAGCUAGGGUAGCAAACGGG
rnacentral:rRNA from 1 species